GACGAACGCUGGCGGCGUGCUUAACACAUGCAAGUCGAACGAUGAAGCCCAGCUUGCUGGGUGGAUUAGUGGCGAACGGGUGAGUAACACGUGAGCAACGUGCCCGAAACUCUGGAAUAACUACCGGAAACGGUGGCUAAUACUGGAUAUGUGCCAGGGAGGCAUCUCCUCUGGUUGGAAAGAUUUUUCGGUUUCGGAUCGGCUCACGGCCUAUCAGCUUGUUGGUGGGGUAAUGCCUACCAAGGCGACGACGGGUAGCCGGCCUGAGAGGGUGACCGGCCACACUGGGACUGAGACACGGCCCAGACUCCUACGGGAGGCAGCAGUGGGGAAUAUUGCACAAUGGGCGCAAGCCUGAUGCAGCAACGCCGCGUGAGGGAUGACGGCCUUCGGGUUGUAAACCUCUUUUAGUAGGGAAGAAGCGAAAGUGACGGUACCUGCAGAAAAAGCACCGGCUAACUACGUG
rnacentral:rRNA from 1 species